rnacentral:rRNA from 1 species
GACGAACGCUGGCGGCGUGCUUAACACAUGCAAGUCGAACGGAAAGGCCCUGCUUUUGUGGGGUGCUCGAGUGGCGAACGGGUGAGUAACACGUGAGUAACCUGCCCUUGACUUUGGGAUAACUUCAGGAAACUGGGGCUAAUACCGGAUAGGAGCUCCUGCUGCAUGGUGGGGGUUGGAAAGUUUCGGCGGUUGGGGAUGGACUCGCGGCUUAUCAGCUUGUUGGUGGGGUAGUGGCUUACCAAGGCUUUGACGGGUAGCCGGCCUGAGAGGGUGACCGGCCACAUUGGGACUGAGAUACGGCCCAGACUCCUACGGGAGGCAGCAGUGGGGAAUAUUGCACAAUGGGCGGAAGCCUGAUGCAGCAACGCCGCGUGCGGGAUGACGGCCUUCGGGUUGUAAACCGCUUUCGCCUGUGACGAAGCGUGAGUGACGGUAAUGGGUAAAGAAGCACCGGCUAACUACGUGCCAGCAGCCGCGGUGAUACGUAGGGUGCGAGCGUUGUCCGGAUUUAUUGGGCGUAAAGGGCUCGUAGGUGGUUGAUCGCGUCGGAAGUGUAAUCUUGGGGCUUAACCCUGAGCGUGCUUUCGAUACGGGUUGACUUGAGGAAGGUAGGGGAGAAUGGAAUUCCUGGCGGAGCGGUGGAAUGCGCAGAUAUCAGGAGGAACACCAGUGGCGAAGGCGGUUCUCUGGGCCUUUCCUGACGCUGAGGAGCGAAAGCGUGGGGAGCGAACAGGCUUAGAUACCCUGGUAGUCCAUGCUGUAAACGGUGGGUACUAGGUGUGGGGUCCAUUCCACGGGUUCCGUGCCGUAGCUAACGCUUUAAGUACCCCGCCUGGGGAGUACGGCCGCAAGGCUAAGACUCAAAGGAAUUGACGGGGCCCCGCACAAGCGGCGGAGCAUGCGGAUUAAUUCGAUGCAACGCGUAGAACCUUACCUGGGUUUGACAUGGAUCGGGAGUGCUCAGAGAUGGGUGUGCCUCUUUUGGGGUCGGUUCACAGGUGGUGCAUGGCUGUCGUCAGCUCGUGUCGUGAGAUGUUGGGUUAAGUCCCGCAACGAGCGCAACCCUUGUUCACUGUUGCCAGCACGUUAUGGUGGGGACUCAGUGGAGACCGCCGGGGUCAACUCGGAGGAAGGUGGGGAUGACGUCAAGUCAUCAUGCCCCUUAUGUCCAGGGCUUCACGCAUGCUACAAUGGCUGGUACAGAGAGUGGCGAGCCUGUGAGGGUGAGCGAAUCUCGGAAAGCCGGUCUCAGUUCGGAUUGGGGUCUGCAACUCGACCUCAUGAAGUCGGAGUCGCUAGUAAUCGCAGAUCAGCAACGCUGCGGUGAAUACGUUCCCGGG